rnacentral:rRNA from 1 species
AUCGAGUUUGAUCCUGGCUCAGGAAUGAACGCUAGCGACAGGCCUAACAGACCAUGCAAGUCGAGGGGCAGCACGUCUUCGGAUGGUGGCGACCGGCGUACACGGGUGAGUAACGCGUAUGCAACCUACCUGUAACUCUCCCUGAAAGGGGAAUUAACACCGCAUAAGACCACGUUUUCGCAUGGAAGAGUGGUAAAAUAUUUAUAGGUUACAGAUGGGCAUGCGUGACAUUAGUUUGAGCCUUAUCGCUCCAUCGACGAUGUCUAGGGGUUCUGAGAGGAAGGUCCCAACACUGGUACUGAGACGACAUCACCUACGGGAGGCAGCAGUGAGGAAUAUUGGUCAAUGGGCGCAAGCCUGAACCAGCCAUGUCGCGUGCAGGAAGACGGCCCUAUGGGUUGUAAACUGCUUGCGGGAAGAUUGUGUUCGACGUGUCGAAUAUUGCCGGUAACCAUACGAAUAAGGAUCGGCUAACUCCGUGCCAGCAGCCGCGGUAAUACGGACAUCCGAGCGUUAUCCGGAUAGAUUGGGAACACAGGGUGCGUAGGCGGAAUGGUAAGUCAGAGGUGAUUCCUGCAGCUGUAGAAUAGCCUUUGAAACUGUCAUUCUUGAGUACAUUUGAGGUAGGCGGUUCAGGGUGUGUAGCGGACUUAUGCAUAGAUAUACCACAGAACACCGAUUGCGAAGGCAGCUUACUAAACUGUAACUAUCAUGAGGCACGAAUGGGUAUCAAACAGGAACCAUACCCUGCUAGUCCACGCUGUAAACGAUGAUUACUGGUUGUUUGCGAUACACAGCAAGUACUCGAGGGAAGCCAUUAAGUAAUCCACCUGGGGAGUACGUCGGCAACGAUGAAACUCAAAGCUAGCACAUCAAGCCGCACAAGCGGAGGAACAUGUGGUUUAAUUCGAUGAUACGCGAGACGUCUUACCUGGGUUUAAAUGGGAACAUACAGGCUGAGAAAUAGGCUUCUCUUCGGACACUAUCCAAGGUGCUGCAUGGUUGUCGUCAGCUCGUGGACUGAGGUGUCGGGUUAAGUCCCAUAACGAGCGCAACCCCUAUUGAUAGUAUCGGUAAUAACUGGACUCUAUCGAGACUGCCGGUGUAAACCGUGAGGAAGGUGGAUCAGACGUCAAAUCAGCACGGCCCUUACAUCCAGCCCUACACACGUGUUACAAUGGCCGGUACAACCAAGCUACCCGCGAGGGGAUGCGAAUCUUAAAAGCCGGUCUCUGAUGGAUCGAAGUCUGCAACCCGACGAAGCUGGAUUCGCUAGUAAUCGCGCAUCAGCCAUGGCGCGGUGAAUACCAACCGGGCCUUGUACACACCGCCCGUCAAGCCAUGGGAGCCGGCUACGCUGAAGUAUGUAACCGCAAGGAGCGUCCUAGGGUAAAACUGGUGACUGCAGCUACUAACGAAGGUAACAC